GCACUUUCCAUAGGGUCACUAACAUCUUCCACAACAUCAUUUUCUUUUUCUUUAUCCAAAAAUGAAAGAGCUGAGAAGUCGUCUAAAUCUACCAUGGUAAAUUCCUCGUAAUUCUGAACAAUAGAAGUUUACGAAAUGUUGGGCUUCUUGAUGCGAGAAUGAAAGCAUGAGCGGGGAAAACACGUCCCUUGACCUUAGAUGCAACAGAAAGAGUUAAAAUCAAUAAAUGAUCAAUCAAAAUAAAACUUUUUACGUUAUAAUGUUUUGCCCAUUUCAGACCAUGUGUCAUUCUCUUGAGAAUAAGAUUCUUUGUUUGAGUUGUAUUCAUAUUCAUCUGUCUUCUAAUGCACAACCAUUAAACAAAGAAAUUAUACUUUAGGGAAUGACACAUGGUCAGAAAUGGAAAAAAAUUGCCCAAGAUAAGAAGUCAAUUUAAACUGAUCUUUCAACAACAAAAUGGGUCAAAAGAAAGGAAAAGAAAAGAAAUUCAUAGGGUUUGGGUGUGGGAGUAGCAGUUUGAAACUACUUACUACAAGGUUCACAUCAUGAAUAUCAUCUUCAACCAUUGUCUCAUCUAAGAAAUGAACGAAGUCAUCGACCAUUGUUGAGUUACGUAUAGUUGGUCGUUUCACAAGCCUGUUAUGGAAUAAGCAAUAGACGUUUAUAGGUUUUUAGACAGUGUGUCAUUCCCUAGAGUAUCACUUCUUUGUUUACCGCCGUUUGCAUUACUAUGUGGCCACCCCAGACACAAAUCGUGUCAUGUAGUUUGCAAAAGACUGCCGUCAAUCAAGCACCUCAUUCUACUUGGAUGUACUCAAACKUAUUGCAAUAGCUUUUGGAACUUUCCUUCAUGAUAUCUGACUGAGAAAGUUUGAUAGAAAAGCCAACUCACUGAUCCAAACGUGUAUAAAUGGCGUCAACAUGAAUGAUUGACAGAAGUCCAUUGCAAACUACAUGACUCGAUUUGUGUCUGGGGUGACUGUGUAGUAAUGCAAACGACGGUAACAGGUGCACAUGAGAAGACACAUGAAUAUGGAUACAACUAAAGCAAACCUAUGUCAUGUGGUCUUAAAUGGUUGAAAUUUUUAAAAAAUACUGACGUGAAUAUGGUUUUGGUCAUUACCCUGUAGACGGGUCAACUUGGAGUACAGCAAAUCCCUUGGACUUCCCAUCAGUAAAAACUUUAAUGCCCCGAUGCACCAUGGGGCAUCUAGUGACGUUAUAGUUUAUGACUUCCUUUUGGUCCCAGCCUCCAAACGGCCUGUAUGGGGAAGGAGAUGGUGAAGAGCGUGCAGGUCUUACCACAGGGUGACCACCACCUGCAUUGGUACAAGUGAACAUCUCUCCUCGAUCUGAUGUAGAAAAUAAUACAAAAGGCUGCUGAUUAAGAUUUUUGAACAUUUUAACAUUUUAUUGAUUCACAGGAGUAAUGUUAAUGAAUAAUGAAAAGAAAGUUGAAACUAAAUUAAUUAUAAGAGAAAGAGCUAA